rnacentral:rRNA from 1 species
CCUACGGGAGGCAGCAGUGGGGAAUAUUGCGCAAUGGGGGAAACCCUGACGCAGCGACGCCGCGUGGGUGAUGAAGGCCUUCGGGUCGUAAAGCCCUGUCGGAGGGGACGAACGACUGCCGCGCGAAUAGUGCGGUGAUCUGACGGUACCCUCAAAGGAAGCACCGGCUAACUCCGUGCCAGCAGCCGCGGUAAUACGGAGGGUGCAAGCGUUGCUCGGAAUCACUGGGCGUAAAGGGCGUGUAGGCGGCUUCGUGUGUCUGACGUGAAAGCCCCGGGCUCACCCCGGGAAGUGCGUUGGAAACUGCGGAGCUAGAGUCCCGGAGAGGGAGGUGGAAUUCCAGGUGUAGCGGUGAAAUGCGUAGAUAUCUGGAAGAACACCGGUGGCGAAGGCGGCCUCCUGGACGGUGACUGACGCUGAGACGCGAAAGCGUGGGGAGC